rnacentral:misc_RNA from 1 species
GAUGAAGAACGCAGCGAAAUGCGAUAAGUAAUGUGAAUUGCAGAAUUCAGUGAAUCAUCGAAUCUUUGAACGCACAUUGCGCCCCUCGGUAUUCCGUGGGGCAUGCCUGUUCGAGCGUCAUUUACCCCUCAAGCACUGCUUGGUGUUGGGCGUCUGUCCCGCUUCGCGCGCGGACUCGCCCCAAAGGUAUUGGCAGCGGUCGUGCCAGCUUCUCGCGCAGCACAUUGCGCUUCUCGAGGCGGUCGAUCGGCGUCCACGAAGCUCACCUCCACCGUUUGACCUCGGAUCAGGUAGGGAUACCCGCUGAACUUAAGCAUAUCAAUAAGCGGGGA